rnacentral:rRNA from 1 species
CCUACGGGAGGCAGCUGUGAGGAAUAUUGGUCAAUGGGCGCGAGCCUGAACCAGCCACGUAGCGUGAAGGAUGACUGCCCUACGGGUUGUAAACUUCUUUUAUAAAGAAAUAAAGUGAGGCACGUGUUCCUUUUUGUAUGUCCUUUAUGAAUAAGGCUCGGCUAACUCCGUGCCAGCGGCCGCGGUAAUACGGAGGAUCCGCGCGUUAUCCGGAUUUAUUUGGUUUAAAGGGAGCGUAGAUGGGUUGUUAAGUCAGUUGUGAAAGUUUGCGGAUCAACCGUAAAAUUGCAAUUGAUACUGGCAGGCUUGAGUACAGUUGAGGUAGGCGGAAUUCGUGGUGUAGCGGUGAAAUGCGUAGAUAUCACGAAGAACUCCGAUUGCGAAGGCAGCUUACUAAACUGCCACUGACAUUGAUGCUCGAAAGUGUGGGUAUCAAACAGGAUUAGAUACCCUUGUAGUC